rnacentral:misc_RNA from 1 species
UCUCCGUUGGUGAACCAGCGGAGGGAUCAUUACCGAGUUUACAACUCCCAAACCCCUAUGUGAACGUUACCAAACUGUUGCCUCGGCGGGAAAUUCAUGCCCCGGGCGCGUCGCAGCCCCGGACUAAGGCGCCCGCCGGAGGACCAACCAAAACUCUUUUGUAUGUCCCUUGCGGACUUUUAUAAUUCUGAACCAUCUCGGCGCCCCUAGCGGGCGUUUCGAAAAUGAAUCAAAACUUUCAACAACGGAUCUCUUGGUUCUG